CCCCCCCCCCCCCCCCCCCAAUUCCCACCUGCAUGGUGAUGGUUGGCGUGCCGAGCGCCCCGGCGGCGGCGGUGCCGGCGGUUUGAGCCGCCGAAACGGUGAUGGCGGCGGGGUUGAGGACCUGGCUGGACAGCGUGGCGAUGGUUCCCAGCGUGGUGAUGGGGGUGGCCAACGAGGCGCUGCUGCUGCUGCUGCUGCUGCUGCUGCUGUUGUUGUUGUUGCUGGUGCUGCUGCCACUGCCACUGCCGGGACCCCCGGUGCCAGCCAGGCUGGUGGACACCGUGCCCGUCACCGUGCCCAGCGUCGUCACACCUUGGGGGGGGGAGGCGUGGAGGGGUCGUUGGGGGGGUGGGGGGAACAGUGGGAGGAUGGCCCCCCAAUCCCUCCCACCCUCCGGGGGAGGAGGCUGUAGAAUUGGGAGGACCCUGGGGGAGGACCCCGUGGAUUUGGGAGGACGCUGUGACACUGGAGGACCCCACAGGAGGACCCCAUGGAUUUGGGAGGACGCUGUGGCACUGGAGGACCUCGUGGGAGGACCUCAUGGCACAGGAGGACCCUGUGGCACUGGAGGACCUCGUGGGAGGACCCCAUGGAUUUGGGAGGACCCUGUGGCACUGGAGGACCCUGUGAGAGGAUCACAUGGAUUUGGAAGGACCCUGUGGCACUGGAGGACCAUAUGGGAGGACCACAUGGCACUGGAGGACCCCACAGAUCUGGGAGGACCCCAUGGGAGGACCCUGUGGCACUGGAGGACCUCGUGGGAGGACCCUGUGGCACUGGAGGACCUCGUGGGAGGACCCCAUGGAUUUGGGAGGACCCUGUGGCACUGGAGGACCCCGUGGGAGGACCCUGUGGCACUGGAGGACCCCGUGGGAGGACCUCAUGGCACUGGAGGACCCCACAGAUCUGGGAGGACCCCGUGGGAGGACCCCGUGGCACUGGAGGACCUUGUGGGAGGAACCAGUGGCACUGGAGGACCCCGUGGGAGGACCCCAUGGAUUUGGGAGGACCCCGUGGCACUGGAGGACCCCGUGGGAGGACCCCAUGACACUGGAGGACCUCGUGGGAGGACCCCAUGGAUUUGGGAGGACCCUGUGGCACUGGAGGAUCUCGUGGGAGGACCUCAUGGCACUGGAGGACCCUACAGAUCUGGGAGGACCCCGUGGGAGGACCCCAUGGAUCUGGGAGGACCCUACAGAUCUGGGAGGACCCCGUGGGAGGACCAUGUGGCACUGGAGGACCCCGUGGGAGGACCUCGUGGCACUGAAGGACCCCACAGAUCUGGGAGGACCCAGACAGACAUGGGGACGUGGGGGGACACGGGAAUAGAUAUGGGGACAGAUAUGGGGACGGCUGGACACGGGGAUGGACAGCCAGGCGGACGCGGGGACAGACAACCAUCCAGACAGCCGGACACUGACCGGUUGUGCCUUUGACCACCAGCGUGGUGACGGUGGGUUUAACGGCUGAGACGCUGACCGGAGUCACCAGGCGAACCCCCCCCAUGGGAACCGUGCGCAGAAUGGUGCCCGGCUGGCCUGGGGCG
rnacentral:lncRNA from 1 species